UACAGAGGUCUCAAGCGUUGUUCGGAUUCAUUGGGCGUAAAGGGUGUGUAGGUGGCGCCGUAAGUCGGGUGUGAAAUUUCGGAGCUUAACUCCGAAACUGCAUUCGAUACUGCGGUGCUUUGAGGACUGGAGAGGAGACUGGAAUUUACGGUGUAGCAGUGAAAAUGCGUAGAUAUCGUAAGGAAGACCAGUGGCGAAGGCGGGUCUCUGGACAGUUCCUGACACUGAGACACGAAGGCCCAGGGGGAGCAAAACGGGG
rnacentral:rRNA from 1 species